GUCUCAGGCCGUAUCAGCCUGAAGGCGCCCGAUCUCGUCUGAUCUCGGAAGCUAAGCAGGGUCGGGCCUGGUUAGGAUCUUGGAUGGGAGACCACCUGGGAAUCCCGGGUGCUCGAGGCU
ensembl:rRNA 5S_rRNA 5S ribosomal RNA